UAAAAAGGGCACCUUUAAUAAACCAAGGGUUACCUUCUAAUAUUCGACUAGCAGACUUUUCAUCUCCCACUUGAAUGGAGUAGAUAUUCGGCUUAGCUUUUAAGACCAUAACAUUUCCCAUCUUCCUCCACACACUUCGUAGGACCUCCUUCACAAUAUUCUGAGAUGGCUCAACGUCAGCAAUGAGCAUCCCCACCAAAUAGACAGUUUCCACAUUUCUUUCCUCCAACUUCAGACUAUCCUCAAAGUUUACGGAUAGGUAGUCCAUAAGUUCCUCAUCCAUGGGAGCCUCAAUGGACGACAUUUUCCUGCCUGGGAGCAACACUCGAAUCACUAGAAAGCACAGAUAACCACCAAAGGGUCACACACUACACACAACCACAGAGGGUCACUAAGGAUGAGUUAAGCAUGACAUGAAUCCAAAAUUUGCUCUAUUAUUUGUCUGAAUCACAACAUACAAUACCGGAGAAACAGAGCACACACUCACGACCAUGCUUAAUGUGAUGGAAUGAAUAAGAAUUUAUGGACGAAGCGUAAAUUUGACAAACUAUUGAAUCAAAUAUCAUCCUUUAAACAUUAAACAUAUAUGUAUUCACCACCUCGAAUCGCAUUCAAAACCCCUUUUCCGUCUUCUUCGGCCUCCUUCUCCCUCUCCUUCCAGCUUUCGUAUGCAUGAUCAUCCGUCUGCGGCUCAUGCGGCGUAUGGAACAAAUAUUGUGCUCAUCCUGAAAUGUAGCGAUCAGCGUCCUCGCCGACCUUUUCAACACCUCCUCCAUGAUCGUGAUCACGGGAAGAUUCGCCACCACCAGUUUGCUCGGUAUACUUAUAUUUCAUCAACCUUCCACUCUCCAUCCAUGUACUGACUGUUACUUAAGUUGGAAACAAUCACUUCUCAUAUUCUAAUCCUGAUUCAUGUCGUACUGAACCAAAAUAUAAUUAAUAUUUUUUCAUAUUCUUUUUGGACAUCUAUGUUGAAGAUACCUUUGUAGUACUGUAAUUAUACAACUUAUCAUUGUGUGCUAAUUAGAAACACAAGGCAUACUCUCAGUCAAUGUUCUAAAUACCGCUAGGCGGUAGGCACAUGACCCCAAAGCCUAGAUGGAUUUUUUUUAUUUUAAUUAAAUUUAGGCUAAAUAGGCAAAAUGGUCCUUGAGAUUUG
rnacentral:lncRNA from 1 species